AAAGUGUUGAUCCGAGAGGGCCGCCAGAUGGCGACGGAAAAGCCUGAGCUAGAGGAUAAAGACGCUAGGUCGCGUGCCGAUCCUUGCGAUCCGCUCCCCGUCACCAGUCUGCAAGAUGGCGGGCGGCUGACGACGUCUGGAGACGGCGAUUCGGAGAUGGAAGGCGACAACGAGAACGGCAGGUCGAAGAAAGGGGCCAGCCCCGAAGAACGGACGAGGAUAAGACGCCGCCUAUCAUCGAAACUUUACAAAGGAUCGUCACCGACAUCGGACUCGGACAUCGCCCGGCUUGAACGUCAACAGGAGGAGCAGCAGCAACGGGAGCAACUCGUCGAAAAACGAUCGUCAGGCGACGGCAGCAGCAAGAGCGACGACGAAGAAGCUGAAGAACUCGCCCGGUUGCGUUGUACCAGUCUUUCGACGGAGGUGGUCGCCGAACGUGAACAGCGUAGGCGCGAGCGGCAAAGGAGGUGUCCAGAUUAUCCCGGCCUUUCUUUCGGUUCUUCGGUCUACAGUUCAGACACGCUCAUGAAACUGAGCCUCAUCAAAAACGAACUGCACAACAUCCUUAACUCGCAGCUAAAAAGGGCUGAGAGUGAGGUGGCUGCCCUUAACAGGCGUAUCCAACUCCUUGAAGAAGAUUUGGAAAGGUCAGAGGAAAGGUUGGCCACUGCCACUGCCAAACUUGCAGAAGCAUCCCAAGCCGCAGAUGAGUCCGAAAGACAGCGCAAAAUCCUUGAGAACAGAAGCUUGGCAGAUGAAGAGCGUAUGGAUGCUCUUGAGAACCAGCUGAAGGAAGCUAGAUUCCUUGCUGAAGAAGCUGACAAGAAAUAUGAUGAGGUUGCUAGAAAGCUGGUCAUGAUGGAACAGGACCUCGAGCGUGCGGAAGAGCGGGCUGAACAAAGUGACCUGAAAAUAGUAGAACUUGAGGAGGAACUCCGUGUCGUCGGUAACAACUUAAAAUCCCUUGAAGUUUCUGAGGAAAAGGCAACCCAAAGAGAAGAAUCUUUCGAAGAACAAGUGAAGGCCCUUUCUUCUCAACUUAAAGAGGCUGAAGUCAGAGCUGAAUUCGCUGAGCGUGCAGUACAGAAAUUGCAGAAGGAGGUUGACAGGCUUGAGGACGACCUCGUAAUGGAAAAGGAGAAGAACAAAUUGCUUCAGGAGGAGAUGGAAGCGACGCUUCAUGACAUACAAAACAUGUAAACAAAACAAACAAACGAAUUCCUUUCCUGUCCGACCUUAGCCAAACUCCUCCACAUAAUAUUCCUUAACCUCCUUGCCACUCAUACUCAUGUCUUCCUUGUAUACUACUCGCAACAAAUAUACCAUCGCACAACCCUUAACUGUGCCAUUGCAUAACCCAAUAAAGAUGAAAUGGUCAUGGAAAAG
rnacentral:misc_RNA from 1 species